AACGCACAUUGCGCCCUUUGGUAUUCCAUAGGGCAUGCCUGUUCGAGCGUCAUUUCACCCUUCAAGCUCUGCUUGGUGUUGGGCGUCUGUUCCACUGUGUGUGAACUCGCCUCAAAUUUAUUGGCAGCUGGUAUGUUGGCUUUGAGCGCAGCAGAAUUGCGUCUUCAAGUCUGGCAAACUAGCAUCCAAAAGUAAUUUUUAUCAUCUUGACCUCGGAUCAGGUAGGGAUACCCGCUGAACUUAA
rnacentral:misc_RNA from 1 species